rnacentral:rRNA from 1 species
UACGUAGGGUGCAAGCGUUAAUCGGAAUUACUGGGCGUAAAGCGUGCGCAGGCGGCUUUGCAAGUCAGAUGUGAAAUCCCCGGGCUCAACCUGGGAACUGCAUUUGUGACUGCAUGGCUAGAGUGCGGCAGUGGGGGAUGGAAUUCCGCGUGUAGCAGUGAAAUGCGUAGAUAUGCGGAGGAACACCGAUGGCGAAGGCAAUCCCCUGGGCCUGCACUGACGCUCAUGCACGAAAGCGUGGGGAGCAAACAGG